rnacentral:sRNA from 1 species
UACAAGAAAUUGGGCUCAAUUUAGGGC